rnacentral:rRNA from 1 species
AAAGUGGCGCACGGGUGAGUAACACGUGGGUAAUCUACCUUUUGGUGGGGGACAACACCUUGAAAGAGGUGCUAAUACCGCAUAAGUCGGCUUCGGCCGGGAAAGGCGGCUUCGGCUGUCGCCAAAAGAUGAGCUCGCGGCCCAUCAGCUUGUUGGUAGGGUAAUGGCCUACCAAGGCAACGACGGGUAGCUGGUCUGAGAGGAUGAUCAGUCACACUGGAACUGAGACACGGUCCAG